rnacentral:rRNA from 1 species
AUUGAACGCUGGCGGCAGGCCUAACACAUGCAAGUCGAGCGAGCGGCGGACGGGUGAGUAAUGUAUGUGGACUGCCCGUUAGAGGGGGAUAACUACUGGAAACGGUGGCUAAUACAGCAUACUGCCGGAUAAUCCAUAUGGGAUUAGCUAGUAGGUAAGGUAAUGGCUUACCUAGGCGACGAUCCCUAGCUGGUCUGAGAGGAUGAUCAGCCAAAAUGGGACUGAGACACGGCCCAGACUCCUACGGAGGCAGAAGUGGGGAAUAUUGCACAAUGGGCGCAAGCCUGAUGCAGCCAUGCCGCGUGUAUGAAGAAGGCCCUAGGGUUGUAAAGUACUUUCAGUCGGGAGGCGUUACCGACAGAAGAAGCACCGGCUAACUCCGUGCCAGCAGCCGCGGUAAUAC